rnacentral:lncRNA from 1 species
UCUGAACAUCGGAUCCCAUUGCUAGAUGGUUAUAUAAGAAGUUGCUCCUAUGCUACCAACUUAGGUUCGAACCUAAAAGAUCACACACAAUAAAAGAUUUAGUCUGAUCAGAUGGCUGAAGUGAAAGAAUAGUAUCCUACAAGCCAAUCACAUGGGGAUGCGAAGAGAUUUUUCUUUAUUUUCUUUCUACUCAUUUGCAUGGCAUUA